UGGUUAGAGCGCACCCCUGAUAAGGGUGAGGUCGCUGGUUCGACUCCAGCUAGCCCCA
rnacentral:tRNA from 1 species